CCUGUUUAUCAAAAACAUAGCUUCUUGUAACCUUAGGAAGUUCCGCCUGCCCUGUGUAUUUAUAAACGGCUUCUAAAGUAGCAUAAUAGUUUGUCUUUUUAUUGGAGACUAGUAUGAAUGGCAUAACGAGGCUUAACUGUCUUUAUAUAUAUAUUAUAAAUUGAUUUAAAAGUGAAAAAGCUUUUUUUUUAUGUAGGACGAAAAGACCCUAUAGAGUUUUAGUAAAGUUAUAUUUGUAAUAUGAACUCACUUUUAUUGGGGCAAUAAAGAUAACUCUUUCUAAUAAAUCCUCAAAGAGAACAUAACAAACUACCUUAGGGAUAACAGCGUAAUCUUACCAAAGAGUCCUAAUCGAAGGUAAGGAUUGCGACCUCGAUGUUGGACUAAGGUCUCAUUUAUAUGCAGAAGUAUAAAUAGUAAGCCUGUUCGGCUUUUAAAACCUUACACGAUCUGAGUUCAGACCGGAAU
rnacentral:rRNA from 1 species